rnacentral:rRNA from 1 species
GGACUACCGGGGUAUCUAAUCCCGUUCGCUCCCCUGGCUUUCGCACAUGAGCGUCAGUUCAUCCCCAGAACACUGCCUUCGCCUUUGGUAUUCCUCCGGAUAUCUACGCAUUUCACCACUACACCCGGAAUUCUGUGUCCCUCUGGAUGCCUCAAGUCAGCCCGUCUUUGCCUGCCUCGCGCCGUUAAGCCGCGCGCUGUCAUGACAAACCUGGCUGACCGCCUGCGUGCCCUUUACGCCCAGUAACUCCGGACAACGCUCGCCCCCUACGUAUUACCGCGGCUGCUGGCAC